rnacentral:rRNA from 1 species
GGGAGGUAGUGACAAUAAAUAACAAUACAGGGCCCUUACGGGUCUUGUAAUUGGAAUGAGUACAAUUUAAAUCUCUUAACGAGGAACAAUUGGAGGGCAAGUCUGGUGCCAGCAGCCGCGGUAAUUCCAGCUCCAAUAGCGUAUAUUAAAGUUGUUGCAGUUAAAAAGCUCGUAGUUGAAUUUCGGGACCAAUUUGUUGGUCGUGCCUCGGUACGUACUGGUAUUAUUGGUUUCUUCCUUCUGAAGAACCUUGAUGUCAUUAAUUUGGUGUCUUGGGGAAUCAGGACUGUUACUUUGAAAAAAUUAGAGUGUUUAAAGCAGGCAUACGCUUGAAUACAUUAGCAUGGAAUAAUGAAAUAGGACGUUUGAUUCUAUUUUGUUGGUUUCUAGGAUCGACGUAAUGAUUAAUAGGGAUAGUUGGG